AACUUAACAAAUGUUUCUGCUUAUAUAUCGCUGCGAUACGGGUAGCAGUCUCUACCCGGAGCCGUAAACUCCGGACUAUAGGUAAAGAAGGGCCGGUA
rfam:Lactobacillus delbrueckii subsp. bulgaricus ATCC 11842 complete genome